ensembl:lncRNA
UUCCAAUUCUUGGAUGUAGGAUUUCCCUCCCUUUGUAGAAACCUGUUGAAUGGAUACAUUUGGUCUAGGAAGUCCUAAUUGUUUUGUUGUCAAUUUAUCUUCAUUAGUACGCCGACUAAAAAGGAGUUUCUGUCAAAAGAGCGAAUCGAGUUAUUGCACUGGACAGGGCAGCCAUCUUGACAGAAUAUGCCUCCGUCGAAGCUGUAUGACGUUCGUAUAGGCUUUUACGUCCACUACUUAUGACAAGACCAGGAGGGGCGAGCCCUCCCGGAAGCCAUAGAGAAUGCAUUGAGAGCUCUGUUUUGUGAAAAAAAUGGAUUUAACAUGGGAGUCAAUGGGAGAGGUCUUGGGCGAUUUUCAUUUCGCCCCAAAUCGCCCCAGAAGGGGUGGGGCCAUUUGAAGCACGACUUUAGGCUGACUGAACGACUGUUACCUGAUUCGACAAUGACAUACAGAGGCAGAUCAGACGGUCUAGUGGUAGAAUCCGACAGAAAAAAAAUUAUUACAUUUCAAUUUACGUGUCAUUUACGCGACUUAGAAGGAUAUUGCGUUUAUACAUAAGGAGUUUUUUUUUUUUUUUUUCUUUUCCCCUAGGCAGUGCGUCGCCCCAAUCGUCCUUAUGGACGAGCCGCCCCUGACUUGAAGGUAUCAUGAAGGCCAAAUCACACAAGCCACUUGCUAUCACUUAGCUCCACGACAGGUUUUGCCUUAAUCUCAAUCAAGUGUUUUACCUCCUCCCUCAGUUUGUAAAACCGUGUGAGCGUGUCUGUGUGACCAUUGCACCUCACAAUGGUAAACCGGAUCUGUUGUUUCAUCGUAGAACAUAGAGAAUAUGACUGCCCUCAACACUACACACUGGUCCUUUAACCUUUGUGCAUGCAGUGUGUAUGUGUGUGUCUAUGUGCAGGGACGUGCACAGGAGGGGGCUAAGGUUGCUCGGGCAACUGCGCGUUUGCCCUCCUCGACUGAAAAUAUAUGUAUAUUUUUUAAAUAGUAUUACGGCUGCAGAAUUUCAUGUAGGCCUAGAUAAAAUAAUCGCGGAAUAAGCGUCCAGGAGACGGGGGCGUGGCGGUGGCGGUUAGUGAGAGUUAUAAGUGAUAUAGGCAAAAUAUACGUCCAGGGGACGGGGGCG